rnacentral:misc_RNA from 1 species
ACUAGUAUUGAAGUCCACGGGGAUCAGGCUUUCCGAAAGGAGGGUGGGGGGAUGUUUGGUUCCCCCUGCUUGAGCAGACUGGAGAGCAUGGUGUAACCACCGUCAUAUGGUAGCUAGAUUAUGUUUGGCCUCUGCUGAUCGAGCUUGUCACCUGAAUUCUACUACCCUUGCUUUUUGCGCACCCAUUGUUUCCUCGGCAGGCUUGCCUGCCAGUAGGACCCCUUGAAAACCCUUUGUAAUUGCAAUCAGCGUCAGAAACAACGUAAUCGUUA